GAUCUGUUCAAGUGAGUAUAGACAAUCAUGUUUGGGGCUCUUGUAGACAGAACCGAAGCAUUGAACAUAGAGAUGGAUUUAAAUCAGACCUUCUCUAAGAGUUUAUAUAAGCUGAGAUUUGGUGAUUCGAAUAACAUUUAUGUAUGGCCGAGUGGAAUUUGAGACACUUUGUUUUCAUAUAUUUAUUUUUAAAAAUCAUUUGAACAAUGCUGUAAUUUAAGUAUUCUGUCCCUCUCUUCUGUAAGAAUGAAAAAAAUCAGAUAAUUAAUUUAUUUGUCUAUAAUCACAUAGCAGAAUUAUAAAUAGCAGAGCUGGGAUAUACAGAUUUUAUCCUCUGACUCAAAACCGAUUGCUUUCACAUGAUAAUAGAUGUGUAUAAAUAUUAUUUGUUCAAUUGAGACUACUUGCUUGAAAAUGGUGAACAUAAACAGAUAUUUAUUUUUUACUUUACUAAGUGCAUAGGUUGAUUUAGAUUUCAUGUGGUUUUAAGCUUAUUAAAAAGUUUGGGGUGCUCUUUUAGAAAAGUAAUACAAAAUGAUGAAGAUACUUCCUCAGGAUUUGACAAGGGUUAAUACAUUUGAGGAGACCUGAAACCUAAGCUUGACUAAAUGUUUUCCAAGACUAAACACCUGAUACCUAAACACAGUUAUUUGCACAUUAAAUCGUCACUGAAAAUAACAGAAAACCCAUUUACUAUUCUGGAUUGUUAUGACCUUUUCCAGCUGUUUCCAAUCAGAGAAGAGAUAUUUUGAUGGUUUCUGGAGACAGUCUAUUCAUCUAAAAGCUGAGGCCCAUCAGUAGUAUGUAAAACAACACAAUAGUAUCAAUGGACUUUGAGAAUCACAACUAGAGCUACUGUUGCUGUUGAGCUGCUUCCUACGUGGCAGGCCUCCAAGAAGCUGAGAUUAUUACUGGAUGUGUGAGAUACCUGGAACACAAACUAAAGAAGGGAAGCCGUGAUGGGGGUGUCAGCCAGGAUGGCAGGACAGGUAAAUUAGAUACAGAGCAAAGAAAUUAUUGAGUCACUAAUAUCAUCAAGACUGUUGUGUGGAAAUGUGUGCUCGGGCACAACUGUUUACCAUAAGAACUGGUUCCUGACUGCCAUAGAUUUUCUCACUUUUCUCUGGAGUUCUAAUCCAAAGUCACCCUGAAACAUAGCAAAAAAUUUUAUCCUUGAAUGAUUCACUUCCUGAACAGUACUUGGUCCUCUUAGUCAUUACUUUUGGGUGAGAGAGUAAAUGAAAUCAUACCACCAGUUAUAUUUUAGUCUUCAGAGAAAUGGUAGAUUGAUGAUUCUCUGGCCUUCUUAAAUCCCAACUUCAAAAAUAAGAAGCUAGAAAAAACUUAUUCACAUUUCUAGCUUUAAAAGGAGAUAAAAACCAAAUUAGCUAUCUUUGUUUAGCAAAGGUAUAGAAACGUUCUUCUAGUUAUAACCACCUAAAGAUUGAGGGACCUAUUUGUGUUCGUUGAGAGCUGAGUGAUACUAAAGGAAUUCAGAUUUGGAUAGGCUCAACACUUGUCUUAUACAACACUGCAAGGGUUCAGAUCAUAGGUUUAAGCAAAUAAUCUUUAUAGCCACUUUCAAUUUUGGGUGGCAUAUUUAAAUAAUAAGAGCUAUUCAUGCUUAAGAACAAUUGGGGUUUUAAAAAAGAAAAGAAACUUUGGCGAGCUUGUGUUUUCCCAUUUGCUCUUCUAAUUAUCACCACACCAGUACUCUACCAAUAUAUAGGAAGCAAAUAGAUGAAGAGUAUGUUUGGUAAAAGAAUAAUAAUCCUAAAUUGUGUGUCAAGACAACAGAUACAAUUUUAUUUCUUAUGGAACUGUUCAUGGAUUGCCAAGUAACUCAUCUAGACUUUUCAUACUUUCUCUUGAAGCUGUUUUUAAAGUCAGCAAAAAUAAAGAGUGAUCAGCUGUAAUUUAAGUCAUAAAUAAUCAGCACAAAGAAUAUGGAUGAAUAACAGUUGGAGGGCUGGAAGCUGACUGUAGUUAUUAGUGCUGAUCUAAAACAAAAGGACUCAUAAAGCAAAAUGGGGUUUCCUUGUAUUUUCUGUUAUCUAGCUUCAGUAAAUUUCUGCUUUAAAUAACUGAAAGUCACUUUUUUGUCUUCUUUCUGAACAAAGGCUUCUCUCUAAAUGCAUGUGAAGUUUUCAUGUGAUAUGCUUACUAAUGGGCCAGAGGUCCUCAUUUUGUCUAAAUAAAUAUUAUAUGGAGUACUCUUCAUUGUGCACUAGCAAUAAUUACUUUUAUUUAAAUAAAUAAAGGCUCUUCAUUGACAUCAAUGGACAAAGAUCCAUAAUCAUACAUAUCUCUUUUUAAUAGCCUAUAUUAUCAUUUGCAUGCUGUAAUAUAAAGUAGAUCAACCAGAGACAGUUCCAUUUAAAAAUUGUUAUAUUCUUCAAAUAUUUACCAUGAUCAUUAUAUUCGCCAUACUGAAGACAUUUUUAACUUCGUUAUGAACUAUUAUGUUUUUUCAACAUGAUUUCUUUUUAGUCUUAACUUUAAAGCUGAGAAAAUGCUGAAUGGAAUUCCAUUAAAUAACGAUAUUAUUUAUUAUCAUUACCUCAGUUAAUAGUGCUACUUGAAAUCACAGUGCAUCUAAAAUUAUCAUUUGCAAAUUCUAUACUGCUGUUUUCCAGGAGGACAUGUAAAUGCACACACAUAAAACACAGUGACUCUGUCAGUGGAUAUUUAUAGUUCCCCUGAUAAAAGGGGGGGGGGUAAGAAUCAUGCUCACCAGAUUCUUGUAGUGUCUUUCUGCAUAGAAAGUGGAGAUUUUCUUAUUAUUGAGCCAGGCAUGAGAUUUGCAUCCAGCUUUUUUUGUCUUUUUUUUUUUUUGUGUGUGUGUGGGUUAUUAUAGUGAUUGUCCAUGAUUUUAUUUUAAAUGUCCUUAUUCAUUUAUUUAUUCAAAUCUAUUGCUUCUCUGGUUAUACUACUCAUGAAGAAGCUGAAGCAGCAGC
ensembl:lncRNA